GACGAACGCUGGCGGCGUGCUUAAUACAUGCAAGUCGAACGGACAGGCGCUGAUUUUGCGCGUUUCUCGUGUGGCGAACGGGUGAGUAACACGUGUGUAACCUCCCCUUGUCUUUGGGAUAUCUCUUGGAAAAUCCGGCUCUUAUCGGAUAGGAGCUCUUGAUGCACGUUGGUCGUUGGUAAGUUUCGGUGGUUCUGGCUGGUAUGGAGGGUUACCCGCUUGUUUGUGGGGUAGUGGAUUACCAAGGCUUCGAAGGGUAGGCGGCCUGGGAGGGGGACCAGCGACAAGGGGACUGCGAGACGGACCAGACUCCUACGGGAGGCAGCAGUGGAGAAUAUGGCGCAAUGGGCGGAAGCCUGAGGCAGCAACGCCGCGUGCGGGAUAACGGCCUACGGGUUGUAAACCGCUGUCGCCUGUGACGAAGCGGGAUUGACGGUAAUGGGUAAAAAAGCACCGGCUAACUACGUG
rnacentral:rRNA from 1 species